AGGUGGGGCAGAUGAUUGGGGUGAAGUCGUAACAAGGUAGCCGUAUCGGAAGGUGCGGCUGGAUCACCUCCUUUCUAGGGAG
rnacentral:rRNA from 1 species